AGAGCGAACGCUGGCGGCAGGCCUAAUACAUGCAAGUCGAGCGGCCACUUCGGUGGCAGCGGCGGACGGGUGAGUAACGCGUGGGAAUGUGCCCUUUGGUACGGAACAACUGAGGGAAACUUCAGCUAAUACCGUAUGUGCCCUUCGGGGGAAAGAUUUAUUGCCAUUGGAGCAGCCCGCGUUGGAUUAGCUAGUUGGUGGGGUAAAGGCCCACCAAGGCGACGAUCCAUAGCUGGUCUGAGAGGAUGAUCAGCCACACUGGGACUGAGACACGGCCCAGACUCCUACGGGAGCAGCAGUAGGGAAUCUUGCGCAAUGGGCGAAAGCCUGACGCAGCCAUCGCCGCGUGAAUGAUGAAGGUCUUAGGGAUUAGUAAAA
rnacentral:rRNA from 1 species